ACGGGAGGCAGCAGUGAGGAAUAUUGGUCAAUGGGCGGAAGCCUGAACCAGCCAAGUCGCGUGAAGGAUGAAGGUAUUAUGUAUUGUAAACUUCUUUAGACGUAGAGAAAUAAGGGGAUCGUGAUCCCUGAUGCUAGUAUACGUAGAAUAAGCAUCGGCUAACUCCGUGCCAGCAGCCGCGGUAAUACGGAGGAUGCGAGCGUUAUCCGGAUUUAUUGGGUUUAAAGGGUGCGUAGGCGGGACGUUAAGUCAGUGGUAAAAGCGUGUGGCUCAACCAUACCAAGCCAUUGAAACUGUCGUUCUUGAGUGUAAACGAGGUAGGCGGAAUGUGACGUGUAGCGGUGAAAUGCUUAGAUAUGUCACAGAACCCCGAUUGCGAAGGCAGCUUACCAGCAUACAACUGACGCUGAGGCACGAAAGCGUGGGUAUCAAACAGGAUUAGAUACCCUGGUA
rnacentral:rRNA from 1 species